rnacentral:rRNA from 1 species
AGCGAACGCUGGCGGCAGGCCUAACACAUGCAAGUCGAACGAACCCUUCGGGGUUAGUGGCGGACGGGUGAGUAACACGUGGGAACGUGCCUUUAGGCUCGGAAUAACUCAGGGAAACUUGUGCUAAUACCGAAUGUGCCCUUCGGGGGAAAGAUUUAUCGCCUUUAGAGCGGCCCGCGUCUGAUUAGCUAGUUGGUGAGGUAAUGGCUCACCAAGGCUACGAUCAGUAGCUGGUCUGAGAGGAUGACCAGCAACAUUGGGACUGAGACACGGCCCAAACUCCUACGGGAGGCAGCAGUGGGGAAUCUUGCGCAAUGGGCGAAAGCCUGACGCAGCCAUGCCGCGUGGAUGAUGAAGGUCUUAGGAUUGUAAAAUCCUUUCACCGGUGAAGAUAAUGACUGUAGCCGGAGAAGAAGCCCCGGCUAACUUCGUGCCAGCCGCCGCCGUAAAAC